UUCACAUUCUCGCUAAAAUCUAUUGUUAUUAUGAUAGAUUCUAUAAUUCUAUACAAAAUUUUGUUAUUUAAAAAGUUUAGAUUUUAAUGAUUUAUAAAUCUAUUAAAGUUAGUGUUAUUGGAAGUUUUUAUUCUUAACCAUUUAACUUAUGUAACAAUAUUUGAAGAAUACUACAUAUAUCCAACUUUACCGCAUGCUUUCCUUCACAGUUCCUUGUCCAUCUUUCUAAGUUAAUUAUUAAAUAAAAACAAAACAUCAAUUAGUAUAUGCCUAUCAUCA
rnacentral:lncRNA from 1 species